rnacentral:rRNA from 1 species
GUACACGGUGGAUGCCCUGGCAGUCAGAGGCGAUGAAGGACGUGCUAAUCUGCGAUAAGCGUCGGUAAGGUGAUAUGAACCGUUAUAACCGGCGAUUUCCGAAUGGGGAAACCCAGUGUGAUUCGUCACACUAUCAUUAACUGAAUCCAUAGGUUAAUGAGGCGAACCGGGGGAACUGAAACAUCUAAGUACCCCGAGGAAAAGAAAUCAACCGAGAUUCCCCCAGUAGCGGCGAGCGAACGGGGAGGAGCCCAGAGCCUGAAUCAGUGUGUGUGUUAGUGGAAGCGUCUGGAAAGGCGCGCGAUACAGGGUGACAGCCCCGUACACAAAAAUACACAUAUUGUGAGCUCAAUGAGUAGGGCGGGACACGUGGUAUCCUGUCUGAAUAUGGGGGGACCAUCCUCCAAGGCUAAAUACUCCUGACUGACCGAUAGUGAACCAGUACCGUGAGGGAAAGGCGAAAAGAACCCCGGCGAGGGGAGUGAAAAAGAACCUGAAACCGUGUACGUACAAGCAGUGGGAGCACGCUUAGGCGUGUGACUGCGUACCUUUUGUAUAAUGGGUCAGCGACUUAUAUUCUGUAGCAAGGUUAACCGAAUAGGGGAGCCGAAGGGAAACCGAGUCUUAACUGGGCGUUAAGUUGCAGGGUAUAGACCCGAAACCCGGUGAUCUAGCCAUGGGCAGGUUGAAGGUUGGGUAACACUAACUGGAGGACCGAACCGACUAAUGUUGAAAAAUUAGCGGAUGACUUGUGGCUGGGGGUGAAAGGCCAAUCAAACCGGGAGAUAGCUGGUUCUCCCCGAAAGCUAUUUAGGUAGCGCCUCGUGAAUUCAUCUCCGGGGGUAGAGCACUGUUUCGGCAAGGGGGUCAUCCCGACUUACCAACCCGAUGCAAACUGCGAAUACCGGAGAAUGUUAUCACGGGAGACACACGGCGGGUGCUAACGUCCGUCGUGAAGAGGGAAACAACCCAGACCGCCAGCUAAGGUCCCAAAGUCAUGGUUAAGUGGGAAACGAUGUGGGAAGGCCCAGACAGCCAGGAUGUUGGCUUAGAAGCAGCCAUCAUUUAAAGAAAGCGUAAUAGCUCACUGGUCGAGUCGGCCUGCGCGGAAGAUGUAACGGGGCUAAACCAUGCACCGAAGCUGCGGCAGCGACGCUUAUGCGUUGUUGGGUAGGGGAGCGUUCUGUAAGCCUGCGAAGGUGUGCUGUGAGGCAUGCUGGAGGUAUCAGAAGUGCGAAUGCUGACAUAAGUAACGAUAAAGCGGGUGAAAAGCCCGCUCGCCGGAAGACCAAGGGUUCCUGUCCAACGUUAAUCGGGGCAGGGUGAGUCGACCCCUAAGGCGAGGCCGAAAGGCGUAGUCGAUGGGAAACAGGUUAAUAUUCCUGUACUUGGUGUUACUGCGAAGGGGGGACGGAGAAGGCUAUGUUGGCCGGGCGACGGUUGUCCCGGUUUAAGCGUGUAGGCUGGUUUUCCAGGCAAAUCCGGAAAAUCAAGGCUGAGGCGUGAUGACGAGGCACUACGGUGCUGAAGCAACAAAUGCCCUGCUUCCAGGAAAAGCCUCUAAGCAUCAGGUAACAUCAAAUCGUACCCCAAACCGACACAGGUGGUCAGGUAGAGAAUACCAAGGCGCUUGAGAGAACUCGGGUGAAGGAACUAGGCAAAAUGGUGCCGUAACUUCGGGAGAAGGCACGCUGAUAUGUAGGUGAAGUCCCUUGCGGAUGGAGCUGAAAUCAGUCGAAGAUACCAGCUGGCUGCAACUGUUUAUUAAAAACACAGCACUGUGCAAACACGAAAGUGGACGUAUACGGUGUGACGCCUGCCCGGUGCCGGAAGGUUAAUUGAUGGGGUCAGCGCAAGCGAAGCUCUUGAUCGAAGCCCCGGUAAACGGCGGCCGUAACUAUAACGGUCCUAAGGUAGCGAAAUUCCUUGUCGGGUAAGUUCCGACCUGCACGAAUGGCGUAAUGAUGGCCAGGCUGUCUCCACCCGAGACUCAGUGAAAUUGAACUCGCUGUGAAGAUGCAGUGUACCCGCGGCAAGACGGAAAGACCCCGUGAACCUUUACUAUAGCUUGACACUGAACAUUGAGCCUUGAUGUGUAGGAUAGGUGGGAGGCUUUGAAGUGUGGACGCCAGUCUGCAUGGAGCCGGCCUUGAAAUACCACCCUUUAAUGUUUGAUGUUCUAACGUGGACCCGUGAUCCGGGUUGCGGACAGUGUCUGGUGGGUAGUUUGACUGGGGCGGUCUCCUCCUAAAGAGUAACGGAGGAGCACGAAGGUUGGCUAAUCCUGGUCGGACAUCAGGAGGUUAGUGCAAUGGCAUAAGCCAGCUUGACUGCGAGCGUGACGGCGCGAGCAGGUGCGAAAGCAGGUCAUAGUGAUCCGGUGGUUCUGAAUGGAAGGGCCAUCGCUCAACGGAUAAAAGGUACUCCGGGGAUAACAGGCUGAUACCGCCCAAGAGUUCAUAUCGACGGCGGUGUUUGGCACCUCGAUGUCGGCUCAUCACAUCCUGGGGCUGAAGUAGGUCCCAAGGGUAUGGCUGUUCGCCAUUUAAAGUGGUACGCGAGCUGGGUUUAGAACGUCGUGAGACAGUUCGGUCCCUAUCUGCCGUGGGCGCUGGAGAACUGAGGGGGGCUGCUCCUAGUACGAGAGGACCGGAGUGGACGCAUCACUGGUGUUCGGGUUGUCAUGCCAAUGGCACUGCCCGGUAGCUAAAUGCGGAAGAGAUAAGUGCUGAAAGCAUCUAAGCACGAAACUUGCCCCGAGAUGAGUUCUCCCUGACCCUUUAAGGGUCCUGAAGGAACGUUGAAGACGACGACGUUGAUAGGCCGGGUGUGUAAGCGCAGCGAUGCGUUGAGCUAACCGGUACUAAUGAACCGUGAGGCUUAACCUU